rnacentral:rRNA from 1 species
CAGCAGCCGCGGUAAAACGAAGGGUGCAAGCGUUACUCGGAAUUACUGGGCGUAAAGCGUGCGUAGGCGGUUUGUUAAGUCUGCUGUGAAAUCCCCGGGCUCAACCUGGGAAUGGCAGUGGAUACUGGCAAGCUAGAGUGUGUCAGAGGAUGGUGGAAUUCCCGGUGUAGCGGUGAAAUGCGUAGAGAUCGGGAGGAACAUCAGUGGCGAAGGCGGCCAUCUGGGACAACACUGACGCUGAGGCACGAAAGCGUGGGGAGCAAACAGGAUUAGAUACCCCGGUAGUCCCUGUCUCUUAUAC